rnacentral:tRNA from 1 species
UAGCUUAAUGGUUCCAGUGUCUGCCUUGCAAGCACAAGGUUCCAAGUUCGAUCCUUGG